GCAUUAGACACUGUACGUGGACAGCAGUUUUCUCACCGCCUCCGAGUGAAGCAGCUUUUAAAGGUCCUUAGCAAAGAGUUCCCUUCAAAGACUACAUCUGUCAAAGAGAAAAAAAAAGGAAGAAUCAAGAAGAGGGUCUGGGGAUUUAGCUCAGUGGCAUAAGCACCUGUCUUGCAAGCGCAUGGUCAUGAGUUUGAUCCCCGGUACCGAUAAAAAAAAAAAAAAUCAAGAAGCAAACAAACAAACAACAACAAUAGGAAAAUGACAACAACCACAACAAAAACAAUAGCAGAAGAUUUCUGCUUGCUUAUGUUAAACAGUUUUUUGAUAAAAUCCAUAGAUACUUAAAAUUACAUCAAAGUUGCACUCAUCUUUAAAGAGGUACAGUGUUAAAUUCUAAAUACUCAGUAUUAAAUUCUAAAAUAAUCAAAAA